rnacentral:rRNA from 1 species
GAUGAACGCUAGCUAUAGGCUUAACACAUGCAAGUCGAGGGGAAACGGCAUUAUGUGCUUGCACAUUUUGGACGUCGACCGGCGCACGGGUGAGUAUCGCGUAUCCAACCUGCCCUUUACUUGGGGAUACCCCGUUGAAAGACGGCCUAAUACCCGAUGUAAUUCAUUGAUGGCAUCAGAUAUGAAUAAAAGAUUUAUCGGUAAAGGAUGGGGAUGCGUCUGAUUAGCUGGUUGGUGAGGUAACGGCUCACAAAGGCGACGAUCAGUAGGGGUUCUGAGAGGAAGGUCCCCCACAUUGGAACUGAGACACGGUCCAAACUCCUACGGGAGGCAGCAGUGAGGAAUAUUGAUCAAUGGGCGCAAGCCUGAACCAGCCAAGUAGCGUGCAGGAAGACGGCCCUAUGGGUUGUAAACUGCUUUUAUACGAGAAUAAUUUGAUGCACGUGUGCGUUAUUGCAUGUAUCGUAUGAAUAAGGACCGGCUAAUUCCGUG